GAAACCUUGGCACAAAAAGGGAAAGAGAACAAACACGUCGCGCACAGCCCAAGACGGGCACCCGUGCCCCCGCCCCCAAGCCCAGCCAAAGGUUCUUUCAGCGAGACGAGCCAGAGGCUCCGGGGUCGAGUGCCCAUCCCCCGGCAACUCGGACCCUGUACCACGCCACGCCAGAGCCAAAGCGCUGCACAACCAGAUCACUUGAUCUGGAGGGAAUCUGCUGAUAUGUCAUGAGGACACACAAACAUCCCUGUGGAUAAGCCAUGAAGCGAGGAGCCAGGACCUCCUGCCAACAGCCAUAAGCCAAAAUUAACAAUCAAGAACCAAGACUGCGGUAUAUUAUUUGUGGAGGUAUACUGACCAAUGAAACAAUAAGACUCUGGACCCUGGAAAGAGAGAGGGUCUGAAGGCUGAGUUCAGUCACUUAUGGGCAAUGAUUGAAUCAACCAUCCCUAUCUAAUGGAACCUCCCUAAAAACCCCUAAAUGAUGGAGUUUGGAGAGCUUCCAGGUUUGUGAACACACUGAGGUGCUGGGAGGGUUGUAUGCCAAGAGCGAAUGGAAGUCUUGUGUCCCCAGCCCUGUGCCUUGACCUAUGCAUCUCUUCCAUUUAGCUGUUACUGAGUUGUAGCCUCUCAUAAUAAACUGGUAAUAGUAAGUAAUGUGUUUUCCUGAGUCCUGUAACCUGUUCUAGCAAAUUAUUGAAACUAAGGAGGGGAUCGUGGCAACUCCUGAUUUAUAGUGGGUUGGUCAGAAGUACAGGUGGCAACCUAGGACUUGCAACAGUUAUCUUUAGCUGGGGCAGUCUUGUGGGGCUAAGUCCUUAAUCUACAGGUAGUUAGUGUCAGAACUGAAUUGAAUUGUAGAACACACAGCCAGUGUUCAGGAAGCUGGAGAAUUGGUUACUGUGGGGAAAAAGAACCCAUGUACUUAGUGUCAGAAGUGGUGUUAGAAAACACUAUAGGUGAUAUGAUUAUAUUUAUACAAAAUGACAGAAAAGGUAAAUCUAUGGAGACUAAAAGUAGA